rnacentral:lncRNA from 1 species
GAGCGUGACAAUGACAUUUCCAAAUGUAUGCCUUAAAUGGUUAAUGUCAAACAUUAUGGUAUUGAAGGGCACGAAAUUAUUGAAAAUUCUAACCUACUGAUAAGGUAUUAAAAUUGUCAUACACUCUAUCAUAUCGUUGGUUUAUAACUCAAAUUCCUGUUCUGCUGUGCCCACGAAAUCCACAAAAAUGGUAUCCAACGAAUAUAAAUGAAUCCACAGUAGUUGUAGAAUUUUAUGUUCAAAAAUUCACUUCAAUGCUCAUAUUUGAUUUAUAACACACGAAAACAUUUAUCUUUUAAUUACUAAAAUUUUAUCUCCAGGUCCCAUG